rnacentral:rRNA from 1 species
CCUACGGGAGGCAGCAGUGGGGAAUCUUGCGCAAUGGGCGAAAGCCUGACGCAGCAAUGCCGCGUGAGGGAAGACGGUCUUAGGAUUGUAAACCUCUUUCAGCAGGGACGAAAACAGACGGUACCUGCAGAAGAAGCCCCGGCUAACUACGUGCCAGCAGCCGCGGUAAUACGUAGGGGGCGAGCGUUGUCCGGAAUCAUUGGGCGUAAAGAGCGUGUAGGUGGACUGGAAGGUCUGGUGUGAAAGCCCGGGGCUCAACCCCGGAGGGUCACUGGAAACCAACAGUCUUGAGUCCGGAAGAGGAGAGUGGAAUUCCUGGUGUAGCGGUGGAAUGCGCAGAUAUCAGGAGGAACACCAAUGGCGAAGGCAGCUCUCUGGUACGUGACUGACACUGAGACGCGAAAGCAUGGGGAGCGAACAGGAUUAGAUACCCUGGUAGUCCAUGCCGUAAACGAUGGGCGCUAGGUGUGGGGGGUGUCGACUCCCUCCGUGCCGAAGCUAACGCAUUAAGCGCCCGCCUGGGGNGUACGCGCAGACUAACUAAGAAGUGNGCGNGAGAGNGCGAGCGACGACGAGGAGAG